rnacentral:rRNA from 1 species
AUUAUUGGGCAAUGGUGGAAACCCUGACCCAGCAACGCCUCGUGAAGUAAGAAGGUUNNNGGAUUNACAACUUCUGUUCUUGGNGACNAGUAGAAGACGGUAGCCAAGCAGGAAGCCUCGGCUAACUACGUGUCAGCAGCGGAGGUAAUACGUAGGGGGCAAGCGGUGUCCGGAAUGAUUGGGCUUAAAGGGCGCGUAGGCGGCUUUAUAAGUCUGGAGUGAAAGUCCUCUUUUCAAGGGAGGAAUUGCUUUGGAAACUAUAGAGCUUGAGUGCAGGAGAGGUUAUCGGAAUUCCCGGUGUAGCGGUGAAAUGCGUAGAUAUCGGGAGGAACAUCGGUGGCGAAGGCGGGUAACUGGACUGCAACUGACGCUGAGGCGCGAAGGUGUGGGGAGCAAACAGG